ACGUUAUCACGUUAUUGUAAUAUCCCAUAGUACAUACAUGUUAUUAAAACGUGAACUAAUGCAUUGUGAGUCUUAUAAAUUGCUUACAUACCUCACCGAUUUCCCACUGUCUGGAAAACGCUCGGUUUAGUUCCUGUCUCCGCCUCCCAAAAUGUCUAGUGUAAUCGGAUUGGUCAGAUGACUACUCAACUGUUAUUGGUCAGCUGGGUUCGGCGUGUGUUUGAAAGGUUACGCCCCUGACUACGCGUGGGUUGACACAGAUUCUGACUGAGAGUCACAGCCUCAGAGUCACCGUAAACAAGCGUUAUAUUUCUCUAUAAACGAUGGUGUCUGUACUGCCUUACCACUUCAAGCUCGAUCCAGAGAGUUCAGACCAUGUUUCAGACGGCCGUUACGAUAUAAACGAUCUCCGUCAAUGAACGCGAUUGGAUUUAACUUUUUUAGGUGUCCUUAGCUCUGCCAGAAUGCUAAACGAAGACGAAAAUGUGUUGCAAAGACAUCCAAAAGGUUUUAAGGAGAAUGCAACAGGUUCCAGGGCCUUACCUGCGUGAUUCAUCAUCCAGGUUUUGCACAAAUUGUCUAAAUCCCUACACACAGAACAUUUAUUGUACCGACUAUAAGCCUUUGAGGCGCAGGACUAGAAUAUGCUUGGAGCUUCCUGAUCGGAAUGUUGGCUUCCGACGACCCCUGCACUGAAGAUGGCAUGCAAUCACGUCCUCCUUUGAAGGUCUCUCAAACUGUGAUGCCAGGUCCAUUGGAAUCGGGGUUUCCUU